GAUCCGGUACAAGUCAUCAGGACUUCACCGCCGUACCCUGAAGACACAGCUGGAGCUGCUGGAGUUGCUGGGGCCACCGGACCCGCAGUACUAGGAACUGAUCUGCUAGCAAGUCCAUCAUCGUCUGAGACCACACAGCCACUCUGAGACCAAAAAUGCAAGAACUGAUCUGCUAGCAAGUCCAUCAUCGUCUGAGACCACACAGCCACUCUGAGACCAAAAAUGCAAGUGAGCUCCAGUGUAAUCAAUAUGUUAUCUAGUUUCUG